rnacentral:rRNA from 1 species
UGCAGUCGACGGCAGCAAGAGGACUUGCUCCUUGUGUGGCCAGUGGGGGACGGGUGAGGAAUAAUCGGACUCUACUUUGGGGUGGGGGAUAACGUAGGGAAGCUUACACUAAUACCGUACACUACCUAAAGGUGAAAGCGGGGGACCCUCGGGCCUUGCGCGAUUGAAUGAGCCGAAUUCAGAUUAUCGUGUUGGCGGGGUAAAGGCCCACCACGGCCACUAUCCGUACCUGGUCUAAGAGGAUGAUCACCCACACUGAAACUGAGACACGGCCCAUACUCCUAGGGGAGGCGGCUGUGGGGAAUAUUGGACAAUGGGCCCAAUCCUGAUCCACCCAUACCGUGUGGGUGAACAAGGCCUUCGGGUUGUAAAGCCCUUUUGUUGAGGCAAAAUUACUUCUGGCUAAUACCUGGUGGGGAUGACUGUACCAAAAAAAUACGCCCCGGCUAACUUCGUGCCCCCAGCCGCUAUAAUAGGAGGGGUGCUAGCUUUACUCAAAAUUACUGGGCGUAAAGCUUGCCUACGUGGUCUUUUAAAUGUGUUGUGACCGCCCUGCGCUCAACCUGUGAACUGCAUUGUAUACUGGGCGACUAUAGUGUAGUAUAGGGUAGCUCAAUUCGUGGUGUAGCAAUGAAUUGCGUACAGAUCAAGAGAACAUCCGUGGGAACGCUCCUACCUGGACCACACUGACACUGAGGCAAAUAGCGUGAGGAGAAAACAAGAUAUAUACUCUGGUACUCCACGCACUAAAUGAUCCAAACUGGGUGUUGCGUGCAGUUUGACACGCACUGCGAAGCUAACACGAUACUUCGCCGGCAGGGGAGUACGGUCGGAAGACUGAAACUCAAAUGAAUUGACGCGCGCACGCACUGGCGGUGGGUGUAUGUUGUUUUAUUUCGAUGCCAACGAAACAUAACCCUUGCCUGGGCCUU